CAUCAUCAAUGGAUCUCUGAUAACAUGAUCAAUAUGGACCAAAAACGUAGAUCCAGUUACUUUUCACCCACGGAAUUGGAAAUAUUAAUGCACGCAUAUGCCGAGCAGGAACACAUUUUCACCAAAAAAAGCAAUACCGCCGCGGCAGCGAGAGCACGAGAGAGAGCUUGGCAGGAAAUAGCCAAUGCGAACAACCCGAGUUGCCCCAAGAGGACUUGGCAGCAAAUGAAAAUGAAGUAUAAAAAUAUAGUUCAAACAGCAAAUCGAAAAAAAGCAGAGGCCCGGAAGACUGGAGGGGGUCCACCACCUGCAGCCCUCACAGUGGCUGAGGAGAUGGCCCUCAGCCAACAGAGUAUGCGUCCUGUGGCUGAGGGCAUCCCUGGAGGGAGCUCCUCUGAUCCCCCCCACCCCCCAGGAUAGAAGUGCCUUUAUCAGAGUUACUGAUGGCGUCAUCGCCCUACUUGAACCAGAUGCCCUCACCAACCUCCAUGCAAUUGUAACAAUUCAAAGGAUGCUUUGGAGAUCCAAAUUUUGGAACAUAAGUUAAAGGAAAUAAAGAAAUCCUC